rnacentral:misc_RNA from 1 species
AAUAAAAUGAACAGAAGAAAGAAAAAAAAUGCAUAACAAGUAGACUGCCAUCUCUCUAUUUCUUUUCCCUCCUCUACAAGGGAAAAGAUAGUAAAGCAUUUUCAUAUUUGAGAUGGUUUUUUUAUGGCAAAAUUUAGAAGCCUACUCAAUAACCAGUGUCAAUUACAUAAAAUAAUUCACCAAUUUCCCUUAAAACCAAUUUUCUUUCCACCGGAAUAAGAGACAUUCCCAUUUUGUUUUAAAGAGUAGCCUAAGAUGUUAACUUGUUACAUUCUCUCACAAUACCUCAGGAUUGUUUCAUGUCAUCCAAAGGAUCAGGAUUUUUUUAUUACUCUUUCUCUGUUUCAGAUAGAUCAGCAAAAUCUAUCUGAAACAUUAUAUUGUGGGAUCAUCAUAUCAAAUUACCUUUGCACUGGAACUAUCACUCCCCAUCUCCGUAACAAUUGGAAAUUGAAAGGUAAAGAAGGAUUCAGAGAUUACAACUUAAUGGUAAAUGCUGAGACUAAGCUAGAAGUUAAAUAGUAUUAUUAUACUAGAUUUUAUCAAAGUCUAUUUCAAUGAAUAAAGGAGUCCUAAUGAAUGAGGCCUCCCAUGUUGCAAGCUCUUGAAAAGAAUUACAAAUAUGCAGCCUUUCUCUUGCAUUUGUGAGGAGGCUGCAUUUUUAGUUUAAACCACUGUGAACUCAUCAAGGCUCACCCUCAAUGUGUAAUACUCCAUACAUAGUUUCAUACUUGUAAACAUGAGUAAAUGAUUAACUCCCAUUCAAAUGGAUGUAUAUUUGCAUUAAAUUUACAGUUAACACAAUCAGCAGUAACAUAAAUAUUAAAUAG